rnacentral:rRNA from 1 species
UUGGAUAACCGUGGUAAUUCUAGAGCUAAUACAUGCUAAAAACCCCAACUUCGGGAGGGGUGUAUUUAUUAGAUAAAAAACCAAUGCCCUUCGGGGCUCCUUGGUGAUUCACAAUAACUUCUCAGAUCGCAUGGCUUUACGCCGGCGACGGUUCAUUCAAAUUUCUGCCCUAUCAACUUUCGAUGGUAAGGUAGUGGCUUACCAUGGUUUCAACGGGUAACGGGGAAUUAGGGUUCGAUUCCGGAGAGGGGGCCGGAGGAACGGCCACCACAUCCAAGGAAGGCAGCAGGCGCGCAAAUUACACAAUUCCGAUACGGAGAUGUAGUGACAAUAAAUACUGAUACAGGGCUCUUUUGGGUCUUGUAAUUGGAAUGAGUACAAUUUAAAUCUCUUAACGAGGAACAAUUGGAGGGCAAGUCUGGUGCCAGCAGCCGCGGUAAUUCCAGCUCCAAUAGCGUAUAUUAAAGUUGUUGCAGUUAAAAAGCUCGUAGUUGAACCUUUGGCCUGGCUGGCAGGUCCGCCUCACCGCGUGCACUUGUCCGGCCGGGCCUUUUCUUCUGGAGAACCGCAUGCCCUUCACUGGGUGUGUUGGGGACCAGGACUUUUACUUUGAAAAAAUUAGAGUGUUCAAAGCAGGCCUUUGCUCGAAUACGUUAGCAUGGAAUAAUAGAAUAGGACGUGCGGUCCUAUUUUGUUGGUUUCUAGGACCGCCGUAAUGAUUAAUAGGGACAGUCGGGGGCAUCAGUAUUCAAUUGUCAGAGGUGAAAUUCUUGGAUUUAUUGAAGACUAACUACUGCGAAAGCAUUUGCCAAGGAUGUUUUCAUUAAUCAGUGAACGAAAGUUAGGGGAUCGAAGACGAUCAGAUACCGUCGUAGUCUUAACCAUAAACUAUGCCGACUAGGGAUCGGGCG